UGUAGAAGACAUAAAGACACGCGUGUUCCACUUUAUAACGGUGCUCCGUUUUCCCUCUGUCCCCAUUUCACUUUCCGUCAUUUUGUUUUCUCUCUCCAUUUCUCUCUAUCGUUUUCUCUCUCCAUCCUAGAUCUAGGGUUUUCUCUGUCUCCUCAGGCUCCUUGAGAGAUUCACCAGGAGGAAGAUGGUUCGAUUGAGUUGCACAAAUCAGUGGGGUUACGAGACCGCGGAGUGAAGAAGGAUGAAGAUCAUCGGGAUUGAGACAGGGACUGGGACCGAGACCGAGACCGAUCGAGUCGGAGCAAGAGAAAUGAUAGGUUUUUCUGCUCCAAGAAAAGCUGGAGCAGUUUUAGCUUCGAUGAAGAGGUCACAUGGCGUUGGAUGCGCUCUGCCUAUUGAAGCUCCUCCUCAGGUCUGGUCCUCCCAUCGCUACCGUCCCUCAAGUCCUCUCUCUCUCUGUAGUGGAGGACAGAGAAUCGCGAGCUUUAGGUUUUCUUCAGAUUCUACACAGCAAUGGAGACUCCUGUGAAGUCCUUCAAUCCAAACAAGCACUUAAAAGAACAAUUUGUGAGCAAUUUGAUUGGAUCUUCCAUGCUUGAAGUCAUUGCUCUUGCGACUGUUGUACCUGCUCUGAUUCUUCUGCGAGAUUAUUUCUGAUCCGCUGACAAACAAGCUAUAGAAGAGAAGGCCUAUGCAGUAAAAAAUGCUGAAGAUGGAGCAGCUGAUCUGAAAAAGAGACUUGAACAACUUGAUAAGAGCUUCAGAUGACAUUUUGCCCCUUUUGCUAGUCGUUCCAAUUUAAAAUGCAAAACUCAAUUCUAAUUAUUUCUUAACAAAUUCUUUGAGUUUGAAUUUCUGUUGUUUUUAAUUUUAAAUUUUCCAGAGUUGACAUUAGAAAGGAGAAAGUAAGCAUUUCUAAGCUUCCCUAAGAAUUACGAGACUUGCCAUGAACUUUGAAUCACUUAGCUGAUAUUGCAGAAAUGCAUGAGUAAUAUUUACAACC